AUGACCCCCAGCCUGGCCAUCGCCUUCCUCCUGCUGCUCCCAGCGCGUGUCUAUGCCCAAACCCAGCUAGUCCAAUCCAGCCCGGGAGCGUCGAAGCCCGGAGAGACCCUCACCUUGUCCUGCACCGGGAAAGGACUGAAGUGGCUGGGACAGGGAUAUUACAGCAAUUCCACCUGGUACACAAACUACGGCUCAUCUUUCCAGAGCCAAAUCACCAUCUCCCCUGAUUCCUCCAAGAACCAG